UACGUAGGGUGCAAGCGUUGUCCGGAAUUAUUGGGCGUAAAGAGCGUGUAGGCGGCCAGACAGGUCCGUUGUGAAAGUCAAGGGCUCAACCCUUGAAUGCCGGCGGAUACUGUCGGGCUAGAGUCCGGAAGAGGCAAGUGGAAUUCCCGGUGUAGCGGUGAAAUGCGCAGAUAUCGGGAGGAACACCUAUGGCGAAGGCAGCUUGCUGGGACGGUACUGACGCUGAGACGCGAAAGCGUGGGGAGCAAACAGG
rnacentral:rRNA from 1 species